CGUCGCCUUGGCUCCUUCUCUUACCGUCAGCCUUCCAGCUCACGUCGUCGCCAUCGCCGUCCCAUCCAGUCCCAGUUGUCGUUGUCACUAUGGCUAACAACCUUUCGAUCUCUUCAAUUCCUUUGAUCCUCUGAAGAAGGAUGAGUGGCGAAGAAAGUAUCGGUGGGAGUAAAGAUGCUGGGUGGAUUGCUGGGAAGCAAGUUCGUCAACAAAUGGGAUUGGAUUACAUAAUUCAGGCUGCAAAGAAGUCAAUGGUUGUAGAACUAGAAGGUAUACUAGUAUGGAGGUUGCACAGUUUCUUGGCGGCAUUAACUGGCCAUUUCUUGUAUGACAAUGGGAGCAAUUCUUAUUGACAUUAGAACCUUCAGUGUUGCAUAGGUUGUCAAGAUAUAAAGAGAAACAAAGAGAUACAGUCGGGUUCGAGCCUAGAAACACUUCUAAAUGAACAAGGAACAGAAUUAACAGCAACAACAGUCUUGCAAAUAUGAAAACUAUAUUUUGUAAUCAGAAUUGUGAUUGACA